UGUGCAGUGUGCCUGCAUCGGUUCAAAAACAGAGAGGGACGCAAGAGCACACUCAACAAGAGCUGAUAGAAAAGUCUAAGCAAGAGAUUUUCCUGUAGUCAUGCAGUCUCAAGUUUCAGUUGUGCAGGAUGGCUAAUGAGUGGAGUGAUGAAUUUUCUGGUAGAGUGAUGCAGUUUCUCAGUGGGGUCGUUGGACUGGUGGAGUUGCUGGAGCUGGUGGGGUGGUUUGAUGAUUAGCC